UUGCGGUUUUAGUUCUUAUACUCAAUAAUACACAUGACAUCUAGUCAUAUUUGACUCCAAAAUACUAACCAAGCUUCUUUUUGCUUUUCAAAGCUUUGAUGGUGUAGCAGAAGUCCGUAUGAGUCUUUGGCUUUGUAUCCUUU
rnacentral:sRNA from 1 species